rnacentral:rRNA from 1 species
GAGGGAAAGUUGAAAAGAACUUUGAAGAGAGAGUUCAAGAGUACGUGAAACCGUUCAGGGGUAAACCUGAGAAACCCAAAAGAUCGAAUGGGGAGAUUCAUCGUCAGCGGUGGCGGCUUCCGUGUGGCUCGCGAUGCUCGGUGCCUCGGCGCUGGCGCACGCGGCUGCUGCGGCAUGAUCGUCUUACCGUCGGCGUGCACUUCUCCCCUAGUAGGACGUCGCGACUCGUUGGGUGCCGGCCUACGGCCCGUUUGGUAGUCUGUCGCGUCGCGUUAACGCGCGCUCACGUGUCAGGCCAACGGUCGCCCGGUCGGCUGCCCGGCGAUAUCGAAUGCAUUUGAAAAGGUAUUGAGCCGCACCUCGGUGCGUCAUGGCCCGUCGCCAGGCUGGCCUCGCCCGGAUUUACGGACCUGGUCUCGUUGCUGGGCGCUUGGCUUUGUCUUUGCUCGACGGUGUCCUCGGACAGGCUCGUUGCCGCCCUGCGCGGCAUACCCGUCGGCGACGCUUUUGCUUUGGGUACUUUCAGGACCCGUCUUGAACAACGGACCAAA